CGAGACCUGGCAGGAUGGGAUCAAAGGGAGAGAGCUGCAGCGACAACAGUUCGGAAUGGCCGCCACUGUGAUGGAGACCACGCCAACCGCCAGUGAUGUUGAAAGGCUGAGCUCAAGGACUUGAAUUUGCGCUUAUCAGAGAUCAAAGUGUGAUUCUCUCCCUCCUUUAAGCAGACUGCUAAGUGCUACAGCAAUUUUUUCAAAGGAACGAAGCCACUUGGGAUGCUGAUGUCCUGAUGUCUGAGCCCUCCGAGGCUCAGAUCGGUCUCUGUUCUUCCACGGGUAGUGAUUACGUAAUAAACGUUCCUCCAAGAGGCUCAGUCGGUUGAGAAAUGGGGUCAGCUUAGCCUUGGUGAUACAGAGAUAAAAGAAGUAGGUGGUAAAGAAUGACCAGCAUGAGCUGGGCGUGGUGGCGCACGCCUUUAA
rnacentral:lncRNA from 1 species